rnacentral:rRNA from 1 species
CAAUAGCGUAUAUUAAAGUUGUUGCAGUUAAAAAGCUCGUAGUUGGAUUUCUGGUGGGAGCGAUCGGUCUGGCGCUUAGCGCGAGUACUUGCAUCGUCUCCGGCCAUCCUUGGGGAGAGUCUGUCUGGCAUUAGGUUGUCGGGCAGAGGAUCCUCAUCGUUUACUGUGAAAAAAUUAGAGUGUUCAAAGCAGGCUUAUGCCAUUGAAUAUAUCAGCAUGGAAUAAUAAGAUAGGACUUUGGUACUAUUUUGUUGGUUUGCGCACCAAAGUAAUGAUUAAUAGGGACAGUUGGGGGUAUUCGUAUUCCGUUGUCAGAGGUGAAAUUCUUGGAUUUACGGAAGACGAACUACUGCGAAAGCAUUUACCAAGGAUGUUUUCAUUAA